UACGUAGGGACCAAGCGUUGUUCGGAUUUACUGGGCGUAAAGGGCGCGUAGGCGGCGCGGUAAGUCACUUGUGAAAUCUCUGAGCUUAACUCAGAACGGCCAAGUGAUACUGCAGUGCUAGAGUGUGGAAGGGCAAUCGGAAUUCUUGGUGUAGCGGUGAAAUGCGUAGAUAUCAAGAGGAACACCUGAGGUGAAGACGGGUUGCUGGGCCAACACGUGACGCUGAGGCGCGAAAGCCAGGGGAGCAAACGGG
rnacentral:rRNA from 1 species